GAAUAUUGGACAAUGGGGGCAACCCUGAUCCAGCCAUGCCGCGUGUGUGAAGAAGGACUUUUGGUUGUAAAGCACUUUAAGCAGUGAAGAAGACUCCAUGGCUAAUAACCAUUGACGAUGACAUUAGCUGCAGAAUAAGCAACGGCUACAUAUGUGCCAGCAGCCGCGGUAAUACAGAGGGUGCAAGCGUUAAUCGGAAUUACUGGGCGUAAAGCGAGCGUAGGUGGCUUGAUAAGUCAGAUGUGAAAUCCCCGGGCUUAACCUGGGAACUGCAUCUGAUACUGUUAGGCUAGAAUAGGUGAGAGGAAGGUAGAAUUCCAGGUGUAGCGGUGAAAUGCGUAGAGAUCUGGAGGAAUACCGAUGGCGAAGGCAGCCUUCUGGCAUCAUAUUGACACUGAGGUUCGAAAGCGUGGGUAGCAAAC
rnacentral:rRNA from 1 species